rnacentral:rRNA from 1 species
UNGAAGAACCUUACCUGGGUUUGACAUCGCCGGAAAUCUUCCAGAGAUGGGAGGUCCCUCGGGGGCCGGUGACAGGUGGUGCAUGGCUGUCGUCAGCUCGUGUCGUGAGAUGUUGGGUUAAGUCCCGCAACGAGCGCAACCCUUGUCCUAUGUUGCCAGCACGUGAUGGUGGGGACUCAUGGGAGACUGCCGGGGUCAACUCGGAGGAAGGUGGGGACGACGUCAAGUCAUCAUGCCCCUUAUGUCCAGGGCUUCACGCAUGCUACAAUGGCCGGUACAGAGGGCUGCGAUACCGUGAGGUGGAGCGAAUCUCUUAAAGCCGGUCUCAGUUCGGAUCGGGGUCUGCAACUCGACCCCGUGAAGUCGGAGUCGCUAGUAAUCGCAGAUCAGC